UCGCUUUCUCCCUCACCGUCUCUCUUUCUCUCUGCGUUGUCAGACUCUGAAGGCGCUGUGCCUUGACAGUAAGCGCAGUGAGAUCCUCCAGAGACUAGAGCUGUGCCUGGACAUAAUGGAAGGGACAGUAGAGAGAGUAUCCAGCACAGCAGAGGUGCUUGGAGCCGUACAUCAGGUAAUGACUUCCACACAGACAUUACUACCCGGGUCGUCCCCUCAGGGCUUUUCCUCAAAGAACCUUUUUGAGAACAUUUCUUUUUCAGGAACCUUCUUUGAAAUACCCGUUAUAAUUUUCCAAUGGGGGUUCCGCCACAGUUUGUAAUUUAAAGAACCCCUAAACGAACCUCCGUGGAACCUUUUCUUUUAAACGUGUGCCUGAAAUGAGCAAACAUACACUGCGGCGCGUGCUGUGUGGGGCAGGAGGCGCGUGUUAGCAGGGCGUUGGAUCUGAUGGUGAGCCAUGUGGAGAGCCUGAGGAGGCGUCUUGAGAGGGGCGGCCCGGAGCUCGACGAGACCAAGGACAUCCACGGGAGGGGCUCCCACCGGGUUCAUAGCGACUGCAAAGGUGAAGGAGAGUUCAAGGAGAGGUUCAGUAAAAGCUCUCAGCAGUUGCACUUUGGUGCGAGCCGUCGAAGGAUCAGCGUAGAGCUGAUCACAAAACAAGCCCAGGAAAAAAGAAAACCAGAAAGAGUGCUGCACAAAUCACUUUCAUUAGAUAAUGUGAUGGGGAGGAAGACUUCGCCCUCAGCCCUGUCGUCAUCACUGUUCUCCAUCACGGAGUCCUUAGAGACGUCUUCAUCAACGGUCCCCAUCACAAAGUCCAAGCCUCGCGUCACAGAGGAUACAUACAGUGUCCUGGAUAACAGACCACCUGAAACUCCAGAUGACAGCAGAGCAGAGGUCACCACCACCGCUGUCAGGUUACAACCCCAGCUGGGCCCUUCUCUAGCCGACACAGCAGUCAGCCGCUCCGCUCCCACACACCAGCCAAACCAAGCGGUCACCAAACGGACAAACAGCAGCAGUUUCCCACUGGAGACCCUGUUGAGACACCGAAGGAGAGGCAAGGCUGCGCUGGAGAUGACUGAGAGCAGAAACGUUGACCAGGAAAAGACCAGGAGGACGCCCAUCAGCAAACGCAGCGCUGGACUGUGUGGCCCUGUCUGCAGUGGGCACCCCCUGGCCCACAGGCUGUGGCACCGACACUGGUUGGACCUGGUGGUGGCGAUCUGUUGUGUGGUACUAUUCAUAGUGCUCCUCUGGGUUGGUCCCGAACUUCUGCCGUGA
rnacentral:lncRNA from 1 species